GACGAACGCUGGCGGCGUGCCUAAUACAUGCAAGUCGAACGAACUCUGGUAAUGAUUGGUGCUUGCAUCAUGAAUUACAUUUGAGUGAGUGGCGAACUGGUGAGUAACACGUGGGAAACCUACCCAGAAGCGGGGGAUAACACCUGGAAACAGAUGCUAAUACCGCAUAACAACUUGGACCGCAUGGUCCGAGUUUGAAAGAUGGCUUCGGCUAUCACUAUUGGAUGGUCCCGCGGCGUAUUAGCUAGAUGGUGAGGUAACGGCUCACCAUGGCAAUGAUACGUAGCCGACAUGAGAGGGUACUCGGCCACAUUGGGACUGAGGCACGGCACAAACUCCUGCGGGAGGCAGCAGUAGGGAAUCUUCCACAAUGGACGAACGUCUGAUGGAGCAACGCCGCGUGAGUGAAGAAGGGUUUCGGCUCGUAAAACUCUGUUGUUAAAGAAGAACAUAUCUGAGAGUAACUGUUCAGGUAUUGACGGUAUUUAACCAGAAAGCCACGGCUAACUACAUGCCAGCAGCCGCAGUAA
rnacentral:rRNA from 1 species